rnacentral:rRNA from 1 species
GGUUAAGCGACUAAGCGUACACGGUGGAUGCCCUGGCAGUCAGAGGCGAUGAAGGACGUGCUAAUCUGCGAUAAGCGUCGGUAAGGUGAUAUGAACCGUUAUAACCGGCGAUUUCCGAAUGGGGAAACCCAGUGUGUUUCGACACACUAUCAUUAACUGAAUCCAUAGGUUAAUGAGGCGAACCGGGGGAACUGAAACAUCUAAGUACCCCGAGGAAAAGAAAUCAACCGAGAUUCCCCCAGUAGCGGCGAGCGAACGGGGAGCAGCCCAGAGCCUGAAUCAGUGUGUGUGUUAGUGGAAGCGUCUGGAAAGGCGCGCGAUACAGGGUGACAGCCCCGUACACAAAAAUGCACAUAUUGUGAGCUCGAUGAGUAGGGCGGGACACGUGGUAUCCUGUCUGAAUAUGGGGGACCAUCCUCCAAGGCUAAAUACUCCUGACUGACCGAUAGUGAACCAGUACCGUGAGGGAAAGGCGAAAAGAACCCCGGCGAGGGGAGUGAAAAAGAACCUGAAACCGUGUACGUACAAGCAGUGGGAGCCUCUUUUAUGGGGUGACUGCGUACCUUUUGUAUAAUGGGUCAGCGACUUAUAUUCUGUAGCAAGGUUAACCGAAUAGGGAGCCGAAGGGUGACUGCGUACCUUUUGUAUAAUGGGUCAGCGACUUAUAUUCUGUAGCAAGGUUAACCGAAUAGGGGAGCCGAAGGGAAACCGAGUCUUAACUGGGCGUUAAGUUGCAGGGUAUAGACCCGAAACCCGGUGAUCUAGCCAUGGGCAGGUUGAAGGUUGGGUAACACUAACUGGAGGACCGAACCGACUAAUGUUGAAAAAUUAGCGGAUGACUUGUGGCUGGGGGUGAAAGGCCAAUCAAACCGGGAGAUAGCUGGUUCUCCCCGAAAGCUAUUUAGGUAGCGCCUCGUGAAUUCAUCUCCGGGGGUAGAGCACUGUUUCGGCAAGGGGGUCAUCCCGACUUACCAACCCGAUGCAAACUGCGAAUACCGGAGAAUGUUAUCACGGGAGACACACGGCGGGUGCUAACGUCCGUCGUGAAGAGGGAAACAACCCAGACCGCCAGCUAAGGUCCCAAAGUCAUGGUUAAGUGGGAAACGAUGUGGGAAGGCCCAGACAGCCAGGAUGUUGGCUUAGAAGCAGCCAUCAUUUAAAGAAAGCGUAAUAGCUCACUGGUCGAGUCGGCCUGCGCGGAAGAUGUAACGGGGCUAAACCAUGCACCGAAGCUGCGGCAGCGACGCUUAUGCGUUGUUGGGUAGGGGAGCGUUCUGUAAGCCUGCGAAGGUGUGCUGUGAGGCAUGCUGGAGGUAUCAGAAGUGCGAAUGCUGACAUAAGUAACGAUAAAGCGGGUGAAAAGCCCGCUCGCCGGAAGACCAAGGGUUCCUGUCCAACGUUAAUCGGGGCAGGGUGAGUCGACCCCUAAGGCGAGGCCGAAAGGCGUAGUCGAUGGGAAACAGGUUAAUAUUCCUGUACUUGGUGUUACUGCGAAGGGGGACGGAGAAGGCUACGAAAGGCGUAGUCGAUGGGAAACAGGUUAAUAUUCCUGUACUUGGUGUUACUGCGAAGGGGGGACGGAGAAGGCUAUGUUGGCCGGGCGACGGUUGUCCCGGUUUAAGCGUGUAGGCUGGUUUUCCAGGCAAAUCCGGAAAACUAAGGCUGAGGCGUGAUGACGAGGCACUACGGUGCUGAAGCAACAAAUGCCCUGCUUCCAGGAAAAGCCUCUAAGCAUCAGGUAACAUCAAAUCGUACCCCAAACCGACACAGGUGGUCAGGUAGAGAAUACCAAGGCGCUUGAGAGAACUCGGGUGAAGGAACUAGGCAAAAUGGUGCCGUAACUUCGGGAGAAGGCACGCUGAUAUGUAGGUGAAGUCCCUCGCGGAUGGAGCUGAAAUCAGUCGAAGAUACCAGCUGGCUGCAACUGUUUAUUAAAAACACAGCACUGUGCAAACACGAAAGUGGACGUAUACGGUGUGACGCCUGCCCGGUGCCGGAAGGUUAAUUGAUGGGGUUAGCGGUAACGCGAAGCUCUUGAUCGAAGCCCCGGUAAACGGCGGCCGUAACUAUAACGGUCCUAAGGUAGCGAAAUUCCUUGUCGGGUAAGUUCCGACCUGCACGAAUGGCGUAAUGAUGGCCAGGCUGUCUCCACCCGAGACUCAGUGAAAUUGAACUCGCUGUGAAGAUGCAGUGUACCCGCGGCAAGACGGAAAGACCCCGUGAACCUUUACUAUAGCUUGACACUGAACAUUGAGCCUUGAUGUGUAGGAUAGGUGGGAGGCUUAGAAGUGUGGACGCCAGUCUGCAUGGAGCCGACCUUGAAAUACCACCCUUUAAUGUUUGAUGUUCUAACGUUGACCCGUAAUCCGGGUUGCGGACAGUGUCUGGUGGGUAGUUUGACUGGGGCGGUCUCCUCCUAAAGAGUAACGGAGGAGCACGAAGGUUGGCUAAUCCUGGUCGGACAUCAGGAGGUUAGUGCAAUGGCAUAAGCCAGCUUGACUGCGAGCGUGACGGCGCGAGCAGGUGCGAAAGCAGGUCAUAGUGAUCCGGUGGUUCUGAAUGGAAGGGCCAUCGCUCAACGGAUAAAAGGUACUCCGGGGAUAACAGGCUGAUACCGCCCAAGAGUUCAUAUCGACGGCGGUGUUUGGCACCUCGAUGUCGGCUCAUCACAUCCUGGGGCUGAAGUAGGUCCCAAGGGUAUGGCUGUUCGCCAUUUAAAGUGGUACGCGAGCUGGGUUUAGAACGUCGUGAGACAGUUCGGUCCCUAUCUGCCGUGGGCGCUGGAGAACUGAGGGGGGCUGCUCCUAGUACGAGAGGACCGGAGUGGACGCAUCACUGGUGUUCGGGUUGUCAUGCCAAUGGCACUGCCCGGUAGCUAAAUGCGGAAGAGAUAAGUGCUGAAAGCAUCUAAGCACGAAACUUGCCCCGAGAUGAGUUCUCCCUGACUCCUUGAGAGUCCUGAAGGAACGUUGAAGACGACGACGUUGAUAGGCCGGGUGUGUAAGCGCAGCGAUGCGUUGAGCUAACCGGUACUAAUGAACCGUGAGGCUUAACCUU